UACGUAGGGUGCGAGCGUUGUCCGGAUUUAUUGGGCGUAAAGGGCUCGUAGGCGGCUUGUCGCGUCGGGAGUGAAAGCCCGCUGCUUAACGGCGGGUUGGCUUUCGGUACGGGCAGGCUGGAGUGUGGCAGGGGAGACUGGAAUUCCUGGUGUAGCGGUGGAAUGCGCAGAUAUCAGGAGGAACACCGGUGGCGAAGGCGGGUCUCUGGGCCAUUACUGACGCUGAGGAGCGAAAGCGUGGGGAG
rnacentral:rRNA from 1 species